rnacentral:rRNA from 1 species
AUACGGAGGGAGCGAGCGUUAAUCGGAAUUACUGGGCGUAAAGCGCGCGUAGGCGGCUUUGUAAGUCGGAUGUGAAAGCCCUAGGCUCAACCUGGGAAUGGCAUUCGAUACUGCCUGACUAGAGUAUGGUAGAGGGAAGUGGAAUUUCCGGUGUAGCGGUGAAAUGCGUAGAUAUCGGAAGGAACACCAGUGGCGAAGGCGACUUCCUGGGCCAAUACUGACGCUGAGGUGCGAAAGCGUGGGGAGCAAACAGGAUUAGAUACCCCGGUAGUCC